rnacentral:rRNA from 1 species
GGAUAACCUACCCUUAGGACCGGGAUAACCUUGGGAAACUGAGGAUAAUACCGGAUAGGCAAUUAUUCCUGGAAUGGUUUUUUGUUUAAAUGUUUUUUCGCCUAAGGAUGGGUCUGCGGCCGACUAGGUAGUUGGUUAGGUAACGGCUUACCAAGCCAUUGAUCGGUACGGGUUGUGAGAGCAAGAGCCCGGAGAUGGAACCUGAGACAAGGUUCCAGGCCCUACGGGGUGCAGCAGGCGCGAAACCUCCGCAAUGUGAGAAAUCGCGACGGGGGGAUCCCAAGUGCCAUUCUUAACGGGAUGGCUUUUCAUUAGUGUAAAGAGCUUUUGGAAUAAGGGCUGGGCAAGACCGGUGCCAGCCGCCGCGGUAACACCGGCAGCUCUAGUGGUAGCAGUUUUUAUUGGGCCUAAAGCGUCCGUAGCCGGUUUAAUAAGUCUCUGGUGAAAUCCUGUAGCUUAACUGUGGGAAUUGCUGGAGAUACUAUUAGACUUGAGACCGGGAGAGGUUAGAGGUACUCCCAGGGUAGAGGUGAAAUUCUGUAAUCCUGGGAGGACCGCCUGUUGCGAAGGCGUCUAACUGGAACGGUUCUGACGGUGAGGGACGAAAGUUAGGGGCGCGAACCGGAUUAGAUACCCGGGUAGUCCUAACCGUAAACGAUGCGGACUUGGUGUUGGGGUGGCUUUGAGCUGCUCCAGUGCCGAAGGGAAGCUGUUAAGUCCGCCGCCUGGGAAGUACGGUCGCAAGACUGAAACUUAA